rnacentral:rRNA from 1 species
ACGCACGCUGGCGGCGUGCUUAACCCAUGCAAGUCGCACGGAAAGGCCCUGCUUUUGUGGGGUGCUCGAGUGGCGAACGGGUUAGUAACACGUGAGUAACCUGCCCUUGACUUUGGGAUAACUUCAGGAAACUGGGGCUAAUACCGGAUAGGAGCUCCUGCUGCAUGGUGGGGGUUGGAAAGUUUCGGCGGUUGGGGAUGGACUCGCGGCUUAUCAGCUUGUUGGUGGGGUAGUGGCUUACCAAGGCUUUGACGGGUAGCCGGCCUGAGAGGGUGACCGGCCACAUUGGGACUGAGAUACGGCCCAGACUCCUACGGGAGGCAGCAGUGGGGAAUAUUGCACAAUGGGCGGAAGCCUGAUGCAGCAACGCCGCGUGCGGGAUGACGGCCUUCGGGUUGUAAACCGCUUUCGACUGUGACGAAGCGUGAGUGACGGUAAUGGGUAAAGAAGCACCGGCUAACUACGUG